UGGGGAAUAUUGGGCAAUGGGCGAAAGCCUGACCCAGCCACGCCGCGUGAGUGAUGAAGGCCUUCGGGUCGUAAAGCUCUGUGGGGAGGGACGAACAAGCCGGCCAACUACCGGCCCUGACGGUACCUCCUUAGCAAGCACCGGCUAACCAUGUGCCAGCAGCCGCGGUAAUACAUGGGGUGCAAACGUUGCUCGGAAUUAUUGGGCGUAAAGCGCGCGUAGGCGGUCGCUUAAGUCGGAUGUGAAAUCCCUCGGCUUAACUGAGGAAGUGCAUCCGAAACUGAACGGCUAGAGUACGAAAGAGGGUCGCGGAAUUCCCGGUGUAGAGGUGAAAUUCGUAGAUAUCGGGAGGAACACCGGCGGCGAAGGCGGCGACCUGGUUCGAGACUGACGCUGAGGCGCGAAAGCGUGGGGAGCAAACAGG
rnacentral:rRNA from 1 species